rnacentral:rRNA from 1 species
UUGUCUCAAAGAUUAAGCCAUGCAUGUCUAAGUACAAGCCUCACUAAGGUGAAACCGCGAAUGGCUCAUUAAAUCACACCUAAUCUACUGGAUAGUCAACAGUUACUUGGGUAACUGCGGUAAUUCUGGAGCUAAUACAUGCACAAAGCCCCGAACUUACGUGAGGGGUGCUUUUAUUAGAUCAAAACCAAACGGCUUCGGCUGUUCUCUUGGUGACUCUGAAUAACUUUGGGCUGAUCGCAUAGCCUAGCGCUGGCGACAUAUCCUUCGAAGGUGUGCCCUAUCAACUGUCGACUGUGGCAUAGACGCCCACAGUGGUUUUGACGGGUAACGGGGAAUCAGGGUUCGAUUCCGGAGAGGGAGCCUUAAAAACGGCUACCACAUCUAAGGAAGGCAGCAGGCACGCAAAUUACCCAAUGACCGAAGGUCGAGGUAGUGACGAAAAAUAACGAUACGGGACUCAUCCGAGGCCCCGUAAUCGGAAUGAUUACACUUUAAAACCGUCCCAGAGGACCCAUUGGAGGGCAAGUCUGGUGCCAGCAGCCGCGGUAAUUCCAGCUCCAAUAGCGUAUAUUAAAGUUGUUGUGGUUAAAAAGCUCGUAGUUGGAUCUCGGCAGUCCGAGGGCGGUUCGCUUGCUAGUGUUACUGCCUUAUGGACUGUAGUUUUGCCAGAGGUCUCUGGGUGCUCUUAACCGAGUGUCCAGUGAUGCUGGCAGGUUUACUUUGAAAAAAUUAGAGUGCUCAAAGCAGGCUUUCACGCCUGAAUAUUCGUGCAUGGAAUAAUAGAAUAGGAAGUCGUUUCUAUUUUGUUGGUUUUCGGAAAUCGACUUAAUGAUUAAUAGGGACAGUCGGGGGCCUUAGUAUUCAAGUGACAGAGGUGAAAUUCUUGGACCACUUGAAGACUUACAACUGCGAAAGCAUCGGCCAAGCAUGUUUUCAUUAAUCAAGAACGAAAGUUAGAGGUUCGAAGGCGAUUAGAUACCGCCCUAGUUCUAACCAUAAACGAUGCCAGCUAGCGAUCUGCCGACGUUUUUUUUGUAGACUCGGCAGGAAGCUUCCGGGAAACCAAAGCAUUUGGGUUCCAGGGGAAGUAUGGUUGCAAAGCUGAAACUUAAAGGAAUUGACGGAAGGGCACCACCAGGAGUGGAGCCUGUGGCUUAAUUUGACUCAACACGGGAAAUCUCACCAGGCCCGGACACUGGAAGGAUUGACAGAUUGAUAGCUCUUUCUUGAUUCGGUGGGUGGUGGUGCAUGGCCGUUCUUAGUUGGUGGAGUGAUUUGUCUGGUUAAUUCCGAUAACGAACGAGACUCUGUCCUGCUAAAUAGUGUCGGCCUCUGUUUUGGGCAGACAAUUCUUCUUAGAGGGACUGGCAACUCUUAGUUGUACGAGAUUGAGCAAUAACAGGUCUGUGAUGCCCUUAGAUGUUCUGGGCCGCACACGCGCUACACUGAAUAGAUCAACGUGUUGUCCCUCUGCGAGAGCAUCGGGUAAACCGCUGAACCCUAUUCGUGGUAGGGAUCGGGGCUUGCAAUUGUUCCCCGUAAACCAGGAAUUCCCAGUAGGCGCAAGUCAUAAGCUUGUGUCGAUUACGUCCCUGCCCUUUGUACACACCGCCCGUCGCUACUACCGAUUGAACGUUUUAGUGAGGUCCUCGGACUGUUUGGUUGGCGAA